rnacentral:rRNA from 1 species
GGGUAACCGGUGGCCGGCGGCCGGGGUAAUACAGGGGGUGCAAGCGGUAAGCGGAAAUGCUGGGCGGAAGGCUGGCGUAGACGGGUAUGUAAGGCGGGUGUGAAAGCCCCGGGCUCAACCUGGGAAUGCCAUUCGAGACUGCAUAGCUAGGGUGCGGAAGAGGGAAGCGGAAUUUCCGGUGUAGCGGUGAAAUGCGUAGAUAGCGGAAGGAACACCAGUGGCGAAAGCGGCUUCCUGGUCCAGCACCGACGUUCAGGCACGAAAGCGUGGGGAGCAAACAGGAUUAGAUACUCGGUAGUC